CGGAUGGAAUUAAAACUGACUGAGCGGCGGACGGGUGAGUAACGCGUGGGUAACCUGCCUCAUACAGGGGGAUAACAGUUAGAAAUGGCUGCUAAUACCGCAUAAGCACACAGCUUCGCAUGGAGCAGUGUGAAAAACUCCGGUGGUAUGAGAUGGACCCGCGUCUGAUUAGCUAGUUGGUAAGGUAACGGCUUACCAAGGCGACGAUCAGUAGCCGACCUGAGAGGGUGACCGGCCACAUUGGGACUGAGACACGGCCCAAACUCCUACGGGGGGCAGCAGUGGGGAAUAUUGCACAAUGGGGGAAACCCUGAUGCAGCGACGCCGCGUGAGUGAAGAAGUAUCUCGGUAUGUAAAGCUCUAUCAGCAGGGAAGAAAAUGACGGUACCUGACUAAGAAGCCCCGGCUAACUACGUGCCAGCAGCCGCGGUAAUACGUAGGGGGCAAGCGUUAUCCGGAUUUACUGGGUGUAAAGGGAGCGUAGACGGCGGAGCAAGUCUGAAGUGAAAGCCCGGGGCUCAACCCCGGGACUGCUUUGGAAACUGUUCUGCUAGAGUGCUGGAGAGGUAAGUGGAAUUCCUAGUGUAGCGGUGAAAUGCGUAGAUAUUAGGAGGAACACCAGUGGCGAAGGCGGCUUACUGGACAGUAACUGACGUUGAGGCUCGAAAGCGUGGGGAGCAAACAGG
rnacentral:rRNA from 1 species